GUUGGACAUACUCGGCCGCUGUGCGGGCCAUACCUGCGGGGUCCCUGAGCAGCACAGGGAGGGUCACUGUCAGCAUGUCCUGCCGCCUGCCAACGGCGAUGGCCUGGUUAGUAGGUGGGUCAUACCGAGGGUCCCUGAACCCAUGGCGAGGCCAGGUCGGAGUCCGGGGUUGGGCGAGGCCUUGGUCGGAGUCGACUCGUGGCACUGUCUUUGGUGGGGUUUAAGGAAAUAGAGUUGCGCCUUCACUAAUACCGGUCGGUUUGGAAUGGAGGUGUGGAUGUGAAAUUGAUUAAAUGAACAUUGACUUUGGGCCGUCUCGUUAUUAUGGGUUUGCCCGUCACAGGCUCUAAGUGUGACAAUGUUUGCCCGUCACAGGCUCUAAGUGUGACACUAUUGGUUUGCCCUGUCACGGGCUGGAAACGUGACCGGGAUUUGGCCCAAAGUCGGAAAGAUAAUUGAUCCGGAUCAAGUUAAUAUAGAAUGGAAUGAAAAAGCAUUGAAAACAUUAAUAAAGAUUUAUGAGCUAUCGUAUGCUAUAUCAUUCUUGCGUGGUUGGACUUCCAUUGAUAUUUGACGUACAUACUUAUAUUGAUUAUUUGAGCCUUUUGAUAGCCGGUUUAUGAUUUCAUGAAAUGUGCAUCGAUUUGUCGUGGCUUUCAAAUUCAUAUUAUUAUUGUGUUGGUAUGGAUGUGUAGGGAUUCUUACUGGGCUGUAAAGCUCACCCCCUUUUCUUCUUUUUCUUUAUCAGAGUUGCAGGAUGCUUAGAUUUGGAUGGGAUGGGCGCAGCGUGCGAGUAUCAGAGUCAUUAGUUAGUUUAUUUGUUUAUCCUUCUUUGAUGUCGAUGAACAUUUGAAGAUAUUGUAAUUGAACUAAUGUGUUUAUUUGGGCAUGUCGGAUUGUC
rnacentral:lncRNA from 1 species